AGGGAUCCCAACAACACCCCCAGGGACCCCAACAACACCCGGAGGGGACCCCAACACCCCCAGAGACUCCAACAACACCCCGAGGGACACCAACAACACCCGGAGGUGUCACCAACAACACCCGGAGGACCCCAACAACACCCAGAAGGACCCCAACAACACCCGGAGGGACCCCAGCAACACCUGGAGGUGUCACCAACAACACCCGGAGGGGACCCCAACAACACCCAGAGGACCCCAACAACAACCCCAGGGUCCCCAACAACACCCCGAGGGACCCCAAGGAACCCCAACAACACCCUGAGGGAUCCCAACAACACCCCGAGGGACCCCAAUACCCCCAGAGACUCCAACAACACCCCGAGGGAUCCCAGCAACACCUGGAGGUGUCACCAACAACACCCGGAUGGACCCCAACAACACCACGAGGGACCCCAACAACGACCCCGGGGACCCCAACAACACCCCGAGGGACCCCAAUACCCUGAGGGACCCCAGCAACACCUGGAGGACCCCAACAACAACCCCAGGGACCCCAACAACACCCGGAGGGACCCCAAAAACACCUGGAGGUGUCACCAACAACACCUGGAGAACCCCAACAACACCCGGAAGGACCCCAACACCCCCAGGGAUCCCAACAACAACUCCAGGGUCCCCAACAACACCUGGAGGACCCCAACAACACCCGGAGGGGUCCCCAACACCCGGAGGUGGCCCCAACAACACCUGGAGGACCCCAACAACACCCUGAAGGUCCCCAACAACACCCGGAGGGACCCCAACAACACCCAGAGAGGUCCCCAACACCCGGAGGGGUCCCCAACACCCACAACUGUCCCCACCAACACCCGGAGGGGUCCCCCACAACACCCGGAGGGGUCCCCAACACCGUCACCAACACCCGGAGCUGUGAUUGUCCGCAGAGCGCCCCAUAGAGCCCCAUAACCACCCCAUAGGCACCCCAUAGAGCCCCAUAUCCACCCCAUAGCGCCUCACAGCGCCCCAUAACCACCCCAUAGCGCCCCACAGCGCCCCAUAUCCACCCCAUAGCACUCCACAGUGCCCCAUAACCACCCCAUAGGGCCCCAUUCCCACCCCACAGGGCCCCACAGCGCCCCGCAGUGCCCCAUAACCACCCCAUAUGCACCCCGUAUCCACCCCAUAGCGCCCCACAGUGCUCCAUUCCCACCCCAUAGUGCCCCACAGCACCCCAUAACCACCCCAUAUGCACCCCAUAGCGCCCCAUAGCGCCCCACAGGCGGAGCUCUGAUGGUCCCCCACCACCCCCGGCCGUGGCUGUUGUGACACCCCAAUAAAGACUGAACUGAA
ensembl:lncRNA